rnacentral:rRNA from 1 species
UGGGGAAUAUUGGACAAUGGGCGAAAGCCUGAUCCAGCCAUGCCGCGUGUGUGAAGAAGGUCUUCGGAUUGUAAAGCACUUUAAGUUGGGAGGAAGGGCAGUAAGCUAAUACCUUGCUGUUUUGACGUUACCGACAGAAUAAGCACCGGCUAACUUCGUGCCAGCAGCCGCGGUAAUACGAAGGGUGCAAGCGUUAAUCGGAAUUACUGGGCGUAAAGCGCGCGUAGGUGGUUUGAUAAGUUGGAUGUGAAAGCCCCGGGCUCAACCUGGGAAUUGCAUCCAAAACUGUCUGGCUAGAGUAUGGCAGAGGGUGGUGGAAUUUCCUGUGUAGCGGUGAAAUGCGUAGAUAUAGGAAGGAACACCAGUGGCGAAGGCGACCACCUGGGCUAAUACUGACACUGAGGUGCGAAAGCGUGGGGAGCAAACAGGAUUAGAUACCCUGAUAGUCCACGCCGUAAACGAUGUCGACUAGCCGUUGGGAUCCUUGAGAUCUUAGUGGCGCAGCUAACGCAUUAAGUCGACCGCCUGGGGAGUACGGCCGCAAGGUUAAAAACUUAAAUGAAUUGACGGGGUCAUAGCUG